GACGAACGCUGGCGGCGUGCUUAACACAUGCAAGUCGAACGGAAAGGCUCUGCUCUUGUGGGGUGCUCGAGUGGCGAAAGGGCGAGAAACACGCGAGUAACCUGCCCCUGACUUUGGGAUAACUCCAGGAAACUGGGGCGAAUACCGGAUAGGAGCACUUGCUGCAUGGUGGGGGUUGGAAAGAGUCGGCGGUUGGGGACGGACUCGCGGCUCAUCAGCUUGUUGGUGGGGUAGUGGCCUACCAAGGCUUCGACGGGUAGCCGGCCUGAGAGGGUGACCGGCCACAGUGGGACAGAGAUACGGGCCGGACUGGUACGGGGGGCAGAGGUGGGAGAUAUUGCACGAUGGGCGGAAGCCUGGUGCAGCGACGCCGCGUGCGAGAUGACGGCCUUCGGGUUGUAACCCGGGUUCGCCUGUGACGAAGCGUGAGUGACGGUAAUGGGUAAAGAAGCACCGGCUAACUACGUG
rnacentral:rRNA from 1 species